rnacentral:rRNA from 1 species
GGGGGGUCUAUCAUGCAGUCGAGCGAUGAUGAGGAGCUUGCUCCUCUGAUUUAGCGGCGGACGGGUGAGUAACACGUGGGUAAUCUGCCUGUAAGACGGGGAUAACUCCGGGAAACCGGGGCUAAUACCGGAUAAUAAAAAGAAACGCAUGUUUCUUUUUUGAAAGUCGGUUUCGGCUGACACUUACAGAUGAGCCCGCGGCGCAUUAGCUAGUUGGUGAGGUAACGGCUCACCAAGGCGACGAUGCGUAGCCGACCUGAGAGGGUGAUCGGCCACACUGGGACUGAGACACGGCCCAGACUCCUACGGGAGGCAGCAGUAGGGAAUCUUCGGCAAUGGGCGAAAGCCUGACCGAGCAACGCCGCGUGAGCGAUGAAGGCCUUCGGGUCGUAAAGCUCUGUUGUUAGAGAAGAACAAGUACGAGAGUAACUGCUCGUACCUUGACGGUACCUAACCAGAAAGCCACGGCUAACUACGUGCCAGCAGCCGCGGUAAUACGUAGGUGGCAAGCGUUAUCCGGAAUUAUUGGGCGUAAAGCGCGCGCAGGCGGUCUCUUAAGUCUGAUGUGAAAGCCCACGGCUCAACCGUGGAGGGUCAUUGGAAACUGGGAGACUUGAGUGCAGGAGAGAAAAGUGGAAUUCCACGUGUAGCGGUGAAAUGCGUAGAGAUGUGGAGGAACACCAGUGGCGAAGGCGGCUUUUUGGCCUGUAACUGACGCUGAGGCGCGAAAGCGUGGGGAGCAAACAGGAUUAGAUACCCUGGUAGUCCACGCCGUAAACGAUGAGUGCUAGGUGUUGGGGGGUUCCACCCUCAGUGCUGAAGUUAACACAUUAAGCACUCCGCCUGGGGAGUACGACCGCAAGGUUGAAACUCAAAGGAAUUGACGGGGGCCCGCACAAGCAGUGGAGCAUGUGGUUUAAUUCGAAGCAACGCGAGAACCUUA